GAAAACUCAAAAGCUCCGCAAUUUAACAUGGCCCAGGUGUGUAGUUGACACUGACCAAAUAUGAAGCUUGUACAAUGAAAUUCCAAUGAGGAGUUCGCAAAAGUUCGAGGCAUGGAAAUGGCAAAAUUAGAGCCAAAAUGUCACCUUCACUUCCAAAUGGCGGACUUCCUGUUGGGUUUGCGUCAAUGGUCCCACUGACUUUUUUGUUCGUCUUGGCAUGAUACACAUGUGUGCCAAAUUUCAUACAUGUAGCUAAAACGAUGUGUUCGUAGGGCUGCAUUUAACAAGGCAUAGGUGGCGCUACAGAGCCAUUUCCCAAUGCUCAUAUGUAAAACCAUUAAAAUACAAAAUUUUUCACCAGACCUGGCAUGUGUGCAAAAU
ensembl:lncRNA